rnacentral:rRNA from 1 species
AGUGUCGGAACUGAAUCCAACAGAACUCAAGCCGAUUGAAAAAUAUUCCCAGCAUUAUUUCUUUACGAGAUACAGCAAAGAACUUGGCGAACUUCGCAAAAUAUUUUAUCCGAACGAGGGUAAAAAGCGAGUUCCAAAAAAUAUUUCCGAACUUCUCGAUGAUCCGAUUGGACUGGCGAUUUGGUACCAAGACGAUGGGACAUUGGAUUGCCGUUCGAAAUAUCAUUGGAAUGUGCGAAUCGCCACUUAUUGUUUUCCAUACGAAGAUUGCGUCAUUUUGGCUAAGGCAGUCAAAAAGCAUUUCAAUAUCGAAAUGUCUGUCUGCCGAUGUACGAUGCGUGGCAAAGUGUAUUAUCAAUUGUAUGUUUUAUCAAAAAGCAUGACUCGAUUCAUUGAAACGGUAAGAUCAUACAUACAUUCAGACUACGCAUACAAAAUAAAUAGCUUAAAUAAGCCAAAAAACGACGGCCAGCAGCAGCGGUAAUACAGAGACCUCAAGCGUUAUCCGGAUUUAUUGGGCGUAAAGCGUGUGUAGGCGGCGAUGAUAGUCAGAUGUCAAAUUCCAGCGCUCAACGUUGGAGCCGCAUCUGAAACGUCAUCACUGGAGACAAGUAGAGGCUCAUGGAACAUAUGGUGUAGCAGUGAAAUGCGUUGAUAUCAUAUGGAACGCCAAAGGAGAAGUCAGUGAGCUGGGCUUUGCCUGACGCUGAGACACGAAAGCGUGGGUAGCGAACGGGAUUAGAUACCCCGGUAGUCCACGCCCUAAACGUUGCCAACUAGGUCUUGGAAGUAUCGACCCUUUCUGGACCGAAGCUAACGCGUUAAGUUGGCCGCCUGGGAAGUACGGCCGCAAGGCUAAAACUCAAAGGAAUAGACGGGGACCCGCACAAGCGGUGGAGCACGCGGUUCAAUUCGUCAACAAGCGAGGAACCUCACCAGGGCUUGAAAUCCUACUGCAAAUCCCGAGAAAUCGGGACUUCUUCGAGAGUGUAGGACAGGUGCUGCAUGGUUGUCGUCAGCUCGUGCCGUGAGGUGUUCCGUUAAGUCGGGAAACGAGCGCAACCCCUGUCGAGUGUUACAAGUGUCACUCGAGACUGCCCAGCCCUAUGCGCAUUUCUUUCAGAAAUGCUAAAUGUAAAAUGUAAAAAUUAAAUUUCAAAAUUAAGGUAUUCGCCUUGCUCAUGACUUUUUAUAAAAAAUUGUCGUUGCGAAGCGACUUAAAAAUUUUGACUUUUGCAUUUUGAUAUUUGAAUUUAGCGCUGAACGAAGUGAAGCGCGCAUUGGGCUGGGAGGAAGGUGGGGAUGACGUCAAAUCCGCAUGGCCCUCUGACGCCCUGGGCGACACGCAUGCUACAAUGGCCGGUACAAUGGGUAGCCAACCCGCGAGGGGGAGCCAAUCCCAUAAAGCCGGUCCCAGUUCGGAUUGGAGUCUGCAACUCGACUCCAUGAAGCCGGAAUCGCUAGUAAUCGGGAAUCAGCCAUGUCCCGGUGAAUACGUUCUCGGGUCUUGUACUCACCGCCCGUCACACCAAGAGAGUCGGUAAUACCCAAAACACCACUUCGGUGGUUCUACGGUAGGAUCGAUGAUAAGGGUGAAGUCGUUUGAUUAUUC